CAAAGAGAGGAUACGGACGACGAUGCUGUCCUUUUUUUCUUCCUUCUUUGUGUAUCUCUAAGAACAAGCACGUCUUCGGUGGUUGUUGUUGUUGUCGUCGAUGCCGGG
rnacentral:ribozyme from 1 species